UACGUAGGGUGCGAGCGUUAAUCGGAAUUACUGGGCGUAAAGCGUGCGCAGGCGGCUUUGCAAGACAGAUGUGAAAUCCCCGGGCUCAACCUGGGAACUGCAUUUGUGACUGCACGGCUAGAGUGUGUCAGAGGGGGGUAGAAUUCCACGUGUAGCAGUGAAAUGCGUAGAUAUGUGGAGGAAUACCGAUGGCGAAGGCAGCCCCCUGGGAUAACACUGACGCUCAUGCACGAAAGCGUGGGGAGCAAACAGG
rnacentral:rRNA from 1 species